rnacentral:lncRNA from 10 species
CUGCUUCCGCGCUGUGGAGGUUUUGUUUUUUACUCUUUGCAGUAAAUCUUGCUGCUGCUCACUCUUUGGGUCCGCACUGCUUUUGUGAGCUGUAACACUCACGGAGAAGGUCUGCAGGUUCAUUUCUGAGCCAGCGAGACCACCAGCCCGCCAGGAGGAAGACGCUGCCGAACAUCAGAAGGAACAAACUCCAAACACGCCGCCUUUAAGAACUGUAACACCUGGAGGGUCCGCGGCUUCAUGAAGUCGCAGAGACCAAGAACCCACCAAUUCCGGACACAAAUGCAUCAUUGCACUCCAGCCUGGGUGACAGAGUGAAACCCUGUCUCAAAAAUAAGCUUCCAUUGACGACCAGCUUUGGCUGUUCCAACUCACCACAGCCUCUGAAAGACCCAUGCUCUCUUUGGAUUGCUUGGUACCUGCAGCACGUUUCCAUGCCUGGGAGGUAUUGUAGCCAUUUCAUCAAUUAAUUCUCAGAGCUUAGUCUUAUUUCCCUUAUUGUCAAGUUCUUGGGCAGCACUGCACUGUACUCACAGAGCACCUGCAAGGGAGUGGGUUUGUCAGGGUGAAGUAACGGUGCAAGAGAGUGUGUGAUAAAGGGCCUUGGAGAGGAGCAGAAUGGAGAAGUGGCUGGAGCUGUGGGGGAGGUCUCCAGGGAGGCAGGACUUCAGCAGGACCCUGAAAGCUGAGUAAGUUUCAUCAGGGUGGUGGUAGGCAAGGAGUUUCUCUGGUAGAUUUGAGUAAUGGGACAUUGGUUAUAGAAACUGAAUCUUGAUUUUAGUGUUGAAUGAACUAUGAGGUUAUAAAUCUUUUUCAUUCUGUAACUCUGUUGGUUCGGUCAUGCAUUAUUUGGUCAGCUGGUACACUAAAGCCUUGACAGUUUUGACCCUCCAUUUGGCACUUUUUCCACUUUAGCAAUCUCAUAAGCCGGUUCCAAUAACAGCAAAUAGUAAGAAGCUGAGUCCAGGUCUUUCGCUCUAAUUUCCCCAGGGCACCCCAGCUUCACUGUAGUUUCUCAGAUCCAAUGAUGGCAAGAGAGUUGAUACACCUCCUAAGUGCAGUCUCUAUAAUUUAAAAUUUCAGGGAGGUUACAUCCUGAACAAGGUGGCACAGCUACAUCAUGACAUCUUAAAAUUGAGUAGUUUCUGAGAACCAGAGUUGUAGAAGCAUACCACAUCUGUACCAACUUGUUGAAGUAAAAGGAUAAAUUGUAGAGAAGGUACUUAAAAAGCUUAUCAAAUAUAAAAUAUUUUGGUACAACUGAAUUGGAAAAGUUGCAGUUAAGUCAGAA